UUUACUCUAUACUAAAACGCGUACAGUGUCGAUCACUGUUCAUACGUACCCCUAUGAACUUACAUGUACGUCCCGCUUUCCCGUCUAUUUGCAGUUUUGCCAUUACCCCUACGAACUUACAUGUUUGUCCUGCUUUCCCGUUUAUUCGCAGUUUUGCCAUUACUUCUUAUAUAUUUAUUAACUGCUGGACUGGAUCGAUGCCUACCUCUUCUUUCUUCCUCUCUCUUGCCUCUCUGCAUACUGCGAGUUACGUCCUCGCUCUUCGCCGCUUCUUACUUUCUCGAGCGAUUGAUUUGGGGUUCGUCAAAGGCAGGUGGUUUUGGGUUUCUGUGUUUGUGUUUUGGUUUUCUUGAUUCAUUCUCUUCUAAUNNNNNNNNNNNNNNNNNNNNACUAACAUUCAGCUGUCUUUAGGUAAAUGCUUUUGGUUUUGUAUUCUCUUUUUCCUCUGCUGGUCUUGGUUAGGUAAAGAACCACGGGUUCAAGCUUGCAUUAGUUUGCAGAUUUUGUUCAUUCCAUUAAAUUUCCCAGGUUAUAUUCAGGGAAUCCUGUUAUUCCCUUUGCAUUUCCACUUCUACAAGUAAUUAAUAUUUGGCAGUUUUCUGCUAUUUAAACUUUUGCCUUGGUAUGCAGACCGAAAUGGUCUUCGGUAUACAAUUUUAAAUUACGAUAGAAUUUUAAACAAUUUACAGUGUUGCCUUUAUUACUCUUGCUCUCCACAAUGAACCCUUAUAUUGUCCUUCCAAGUGUUAAGAAAAACAAUAAUGAAUGAGACUGUCAAAUUCAAAGUGAGGGACAGGCAGCAAACCGCGGCAAGCCGCUGGCAACAAACCUAGUUUGAAUCUAAUUAACCUACAUCUUCAUCCGAUCCAACUUCUCUCUCUCUCUCNNNN
rnacentral:lncRNA from 1 species